UCGGGUUCAGGUUCGGGUUCAGGUUCGGGCUCGGGUUCAGGCUCGAGUUCAGGCUUGGGUUCAGGUUUGGGUUCAGGUUUGGGUUUAGGUUCAGGUUCAGGUUCAGGUUCGGGUUCGGGUUCAGGCUCGAGUUCAGGCUUGGGUUCAGGUUCAGGUUCGGGUUCAGGUUCAGUUUCAGGUUCAGGCUUGGGUUCAGGUUCAGUUUCAGGUUCGGGCUCGGGUUCAGGUUCGGGUUCAGUUUCAGGUUCAGGCUCGGGUUCAGGCUCGGGUUCAGGCUCGAGUUCAGGUUCAGGUUCGGGUUCAGGUUCAGGUUCAGUUUCAGGUUCAGGCUCGGGUUCCCACUGUUUCUGUCUGCUGACACCAGACAAACUGACCCACUCAUGUUGUAGCUGUGAUUUGAUCCGAUCCGAUCACUUCCGUUCUGUGACGUUUCGUACUCAGCCUUGUUCUACUGCUUCUUUAGCAGUGGAGGCGCCUCCACAUUUGACCUCCAUCUUGACACGCGGUGCCUCACACACACCAGAGGCCUCUUCCUUCAGCUCAGAUGUAAAGUUAAGAGACACGCUGUUGAGUCGCGCCCACUGUUCAUCUGCCACUACGCGAUGGCCGUCCUGCACAAUGAGCUGAAGUCCGUGAUUUCGUAACAGGAGUGUUCUCCUAGUUCCACAAAUGCAUUACUCCUCCCACAAACAGCAACAAGUUCUGUUUCUAAUUCUCAGAAACACAACGUAAUAGAAGUGGCUGAUGUUGCAAACACUAAAGUGUGGUUGGAUGUGGCCACUGACUUGUGUUGUUCCUCUGUGACCUCACCUCCACCAGCCGUUGCUCUUCAUCCAUCAGCGUCUUGCUCAUCUGUUCAGAGAAGGAUAGAAGCUACCAUUAUUCCUCAUGGGUGACGUUCAUGGUUUCACUGUGAGGAGCUGCUAAUGCUGAUAGAAACACUUGCUUUAAAGCUACACACAGGAAGGAAAGAGCUGGGAAUGUAGAUGUAGGUCUGAGGUGGAACAAUAAAAUGUGUCACACGAGAAGAACUCGGAGUUCGGUUUUCAUCCUUUCUUUCGUUUCUUCAUUUUUAAAUGUACUUGUUGCUAAAUUUAGGCAACAGGCUAAAAACGAAGAGGAAGUGUCAACACAGGAAAACGUUAGACUUGACACCUGAAGGCUCUGACCCGAAGGAGCGUCUCCUCCGAUCCGGACUAUUCAACCAGCCAGAGGCAAAAGCGGAUAAUGACGGGCCGCAUUCGUGAAAGAUGGUUUUACAAAGGAGUCACUAGAAGGAAUGUGACCUGCACUGGUUUAAGCCACGCCCCCUUCGUCACACCUACGGGCGACGUUUUUAGUUGGAUCAGGUUGUUUUACUUUUACCUAAACUUUUAAACCUGCGGAAAAAGAUUUAAGCACAACGAAGACAAAACAAAAACAGCUGAUCUGAUUCUGGAGUCCCUGUUUUUAAAGAAUCAGUGACAAGAGCAAGUUACUUCUACCCUUUAAAAAGUGCUCACCUGGAAAACGUCAGGAUCCACAGACUGACGCUUCAUCAGCUGGAAAAUGUCUCACAGGAAACGCCAACUCUAACCACAAGGCGACGCCGUGGACGAAGCCCAUCCCGUUGGCGCAGCCAUGAAGAGCAGCAGCAGGUCCAGGAUGGAGGGGUCAGAGGUCGUUACCGGAGAUGCUGCGGUAAAGAUGGAGGAACAGUAGAGCAGCAACUUUCAGCCACAAAUGAAAGACAAAGACAAAUAAAGUG